UACGUAGGGUGCAAGCGUUAAUCGGAAUUACUGGGCGUAAAGCGUGCGCAGGCGGUAAGUUAAGUCUGAUGUGAAAGCCCCGGGCUCAACCUGGGAACGGCAUUGGAAACUGGCUUGCUGGAGUGUGGCAGAGGGGGGUGGAAUUCCGCGUGUAGCAGUGAAAUGCGUAGAGAUGCGGAGGAACACCGAUGGCGAAGGCAGCCCCCUGGGCCAACACUGACGCUCAGGCACGAAAGCGUGGGGAGCAAACAGG
rnacentral:rRNA from 1 species